GUGCUCACUUUGGCAGCACAUAUACUAAAAUGGUAACAAUCAGGGAAGAUUAGCACGGCCCCUGCAUAAGGCUGACACACAAAUUCAUGAAGUGUUCUUAUACAUU